UUAAGCUAUUUUUACCUUUCAUGUUGCAUGAGUAGAAGUAUGAAAGCACAUGUCUUAAAAAAAUCCACUGUUUAUGUGCUUAACAAUUUUCGGUAGCAAAGAUAGAGUUACUUGGGGGGAUUGAUAUAGACUAUGGUGGUGUAUUUUUUUUUGCUAAAGACUAAAGAUCACCUGUGUCAUUUUCACAGCAAUUUUGUGGUUCACUUGAAUUUGUAAUGGAUGUUUUAUGCUCAUCUGAUGGUGUGUAAGGCUGCAAGUCAUUCUCAGGAAAUGCAAGGUACACCUUAGAUAAAAGCUUCCAAGCGCCUCCUAUAUAAGUAGAUAUACUGAGCCUUAUUUUGUUUGCACUUUCUUGACAAAUAUAGUGGUACACAGCCAUAAGGCUUUUGUUGUACUUGCAUAGUACUUCUGCACUCAGUUUUGCCAUAAGUCAUUAUCUGAUGAAGUGUCAAAUGGCUAUUCUUGUGGGAAGCAACCUGUUUUAUACUUCCAUCUCCUCCCUGUUCUUAUGGUCCCCAAGCGGGCUAGACAAUUUAUGGCCUGCCUAUGCAAAUCUUAGGGUUUUUUUUGAGUCAUUGCUGGAAAAAUAACUCAGGUUGCAUGUAAUUAUAUUAAUGGAAGAAGCGGCAUACAAAGUUCAUUUUUCUGCAGAAUCUUGGAAGGUUUCUGAAUUGAAACAACAUGUAGUUCACUAUUAUUGUGACUUUGCGAGUAGUGGUUGAAAAGCAAAGUUGCCACGGCAGCUUGUAUUACGCGCACUUGAUGUUACUUAAAGGAACACACAUGCACACAUAGAUUACUGUUUGAUUUUUAUAAGUCUUUUGUUUCUUUGUUAAGGAUAUGGACAACAAUGAACUUAUUCACUUCUAUUCUACCGUUUUAGAUUCGCCGGAGACGGGAUUCAGUGACCUCAUUUAGCAUAACUUCUCAGAUGCGAAUAACAAGCAGCUCAAUAACAAGCAUUAGAGAGAAGAAGCUCCAGUACAAAAGUCAGAUAGACUUAAGAAUCAGGAAACUGAAGUCUGAUCUGAAGAAGAUAACAGGCUUCCAGGUAUGCUUUGCACUAAGUUGAUUAAAAUUGUAUCCUAGUUUAAUUGUUUCUGGAAGUGGUGUGCUUCUACAGUAAGUUGAUUAAAAUUCUGGAGUAUAUGCAUCAGGGCUUACUAUGCUUGUUAAUUCUGGAGUACAAUAUCUCUGCAACCUUUUUCCUGUUACCUUGCUUCAACAUUUACUUGUUACCUGUUACUAUUCUGAAAUUUAUCUUAGAGAUGUAUUCUGCAACUGGAAAAAUCUGGAAGACAUUGCAGAACAAUACACCUCUGGAAGCCGAGCUCUUCCAGCUCCGCUCGCCGUCCUUUUUCCUGUUACCUUGCUUCAACAUUUACCUCUGGUGUAUUAACUCGGGCUCUCCUUGGAUGCUAUGUGCCAGAAUGGGUAUCUGCACGAGAAGAUCUUCUGGUUGCAUCUUGGUAUGUGAGUAUGUGACUGUUUUCUUCUUUCUCCAGUCAUAUCUCUAUCAGAUACUCCGCGGCGUUGCUUACUGUCAUUCUCAUAGAGUUCUUCAUCGAGAUUUGAAACCUCAGAAUUUAUUGGUAGAUCGGUGUACUAACGCACUGAAGCUUGCAGACUUUGGUUUAGCCAGGGCUUUUGGAAUCCCUGUUCGUACAUUUACUCAAGAGGUAGUAACAUUAUGGUACAAAGCUCCAGAAAUUCUUCUUGGAGCGAGGCAAUAUUCCACACCAGUUGAUGUGUGGUCAGUGGGCUGUAUCUUUGCAGAAAUGGUGAAGCAGAAGCCACUGUUUCCAGGCGAUUCUGAGAUUGAUAAAUUAUUUAAGAUAUUCAGGAUAAAUUACUGGAACUGCUGGGAUUUGGAGUAGAUCCGCAUCUUCUUCUAGAGGAUCAUUGUCUUUUUCGGGUGCUGUACAAUUUAGGCAAACAAUAUUCCUCCUGGGCAUUGGGCUGCGAGUAGGCUGUGAAGAGACACAUGGGAUAGAAGCCACAAGCAAAUGGAAGCCAGUAUGAUGUGUGAUUGUGUUACAGGUCUUGCUUGAUGAACCCUGUUGGUCAGACAAGUAAGAUGGAAGCCAAUUAGAUGAACCAUGUUAGAUGAACCUUGUUGUGUAUUUUAUCUAAUGGUUUCAAACAAUGUUGUUCAUGAUGUGGAGAUGAACACUGUUGGUCAUGGAAGUUAAUUAGAUGCUUGGAUUGUGAAUCCUUGAAUGUUCAAAAUGUUGGUUUCAAACAUUGCUUGACUUCUUGAGUGUGA